rnacentral:rRNA from 1 species
ACGCGUGAGGAACCUGCCUCAAAGAGGGGGACAACAGUUGGAAACGACUGCUAAUACCGCAUAAGCCCACGGUGCCGCAUGGCACAGAGGGAAAAGGAGCAAUCCGCUUUGAGAUGGCCUCGCGUCCGAUUAGCUAGUUGGUGAGGUAACGGCCCACCAAGGCGACGAUCGGUAGCCGGACUGAGAGGUUGAACGGCCACAUUGGGACUGAGACACGGCCCAGACUCCUACGGGAGGCAGCAGUGGGGAAUAUUGCACAAUGGGGGAAACCCUGAUGCAGCGACGCCGCGUGGAGGAAGAAGGUCUUCGGAUUGUAAACUCCUGUUGUUGAGGAAGAUAAUGACGGUACUCAACAAGGAAGUGACGGCUAACUACGUGCCAGCAGCCGCGGUAAAACGUAGGUCACAAGCGUUGUCCGGAAUUACUGGGUGUAAAGGGAGCGCAGGCGGGCGAUCAAGUUGGAAGUGAAAUCCAUGGGCUCAACCCAUGAACUGCUUUCAAAACUGGUCGUCUUGAGUAGUGCAGAGGUAGGCGGAAUUCCCGGUGUAGCGGUGGAAUGCGUAGAUAUCGGGAGGAACACCAGUGGCGAAGGCGGCCUACUGGGCACCAACUGACGCUGAGGCUCGAAAGUGUGGGUAGCAAACAGGAUUAGAUACCCUGGUAGUCCACACCGUAAACGAUGAUUACUAGGUGUUGGGAGAUUGACCCUCUCAGUGCCGCAGUUAACACAAUAAGUAAUCCACCUGGGGAGUA